AAAAAGGUAAGCUAAAAUAAGCUACUGGGUUCAUACCCCACUUAUGUAGGUAUACCCCUUCCCUUUUUA
rnacentral:tRNA from 1 species